rnacentral:rRNA from 1 species
UACAGAGGGUGCGAGCGUUAAUCGGAAUUACUGGGCGUAAAGCGCACGUAGUCGGCUUUGCAAGUCGGGUGUGAAAUCCCCGGGCUCAACCUGGGAACUGCAUCCGAGACUGCAUUGCUAGAGUAUGGGAGAGGGAAGCGGAAUUUCUGGUGUAGCAGUGAAAUGCGAUAGAUAUCAGAAGGAACAUCAGUGGCGAAGGCGGCUUCCUGGACCAAUACA